CCUACGGGGUGCACCAGUGGGGAAUAUUGGACAAUGGGCGCAAGCCUGAUCCAGCCAUACCGCGUGGGUGAAGAAGGCCUUCGGGUUGUAAAGCCCUUUUGUUGGGAAAGAAAUCCUAUCGGUUAAUAACCGGUGGGGAUGACGGUACCCAAAGAAUAAGCACCGGCUAACUUCGUGCCAGCAGCCGCGGUAAUACGAAGGGUGCAAGCGUUACUCGGAAUUACUGGGCGUAAAGCGUGCGUAGGUGGUGGUUUAAGUCUGCUGUGAAAGCCCUGGGCUCAACCUGGGAAUUGCAGUGGAUACUGGAUCACUAGAGUGUGGUAGAGGGAUGCGGAAUUUCUGGUGUAGCAGUGAAAUGCGUAGAGAUCAGAAGGAACAUCCGUGGCGAAGGCGGCAUCCUGGGCCAACACUGACACUGAGGCACGAAAGCGUGGGGAGCAAACAGGAUUAGAUACCCUAGUAGUC
rnacentral:rRNA from 1 species